UGGAGCGACGAACCAGGGCUUGCCCUGGAGCAAAGCCGCGAACGGGUGAGUAACACGUGGGUAACCUGCCCCAAUGACCGGGACAACCCGAGGAAACUCGGGCUAAUACCGGAUGUGCUCCCCGCCCAUCAGGGCGGUGAGGAAAGGAAGCUUUGGCCUCCGCAUUGGGAGGGGCCCGCGGCCCAUUAGCUUGUUGGUGAGGUAACGGCUCACCAAGGCUGCAAUGGGUAGCUGGUCUGAGAGGACGAUCAGCCACACUGGGACUGAGACACGGCCCAGACUCCUACGGGAGGCAGCAGUGGGGAAUUUUGCGCAAUGCGCGACAGCGUGACGCAGCAACGCCGCGUGGGGGAAGACGGCCUUCGGGUUGUAAACCCCUUUCAGCAGGGACGAAGGUGUGGCGGUGAAUAGCCGACCGCAUUGACGGUACCUGCAGAAGAACCCCCGGCUAACUACGUGCCAGCAGCCGCGGCAAUACGUAGGGGGAAAGCGUUGGCCGGAGUCAUUGGGCGUAAUAAGGGGGUAAGCGCCCCGGUUAGUCGUCUGUUAAAUCAAAUGGAACACCCC
rnacentral:rRNA from 1 species